rnacentral:rRNA from 1 species
CGGGGUGCCCAGGCGCGAAAACUUUACAAUGCGGGAAACCGUGAUAAGGGAACUCCGAGUGCCCGUAAAAUCGGGCUGUCCAUCUGUUUAAAUAACAGGUGAAGAAAGGGCCGGGCAAGACCGGUGCCAGCCGCCGCGGUAAUACCGGCGGCUCGAGUGGUGGCCACUAUUACUGGGCUUAAAGCGUUCGUAGCUGGUCUGUUAAGUCUCUGGGGAAAUCUACUGGCUUAACCAAUAGGCGUUUCAGGGAUACUGGCAGACUAGGGACCGGGAGAGGUGAGGGGUACUCCAGGGGUAGGAGUGAAAUCCUGUAAUCCUUGGGGGACCACCUGUGGCGAAGGCGCCUCACCAGAACGGCUCCGACAGUGAGGGACGAAAGCUGGGGGAGCAAACCGGAUUAGAUACCCGGGUAGUCCCAGCCGUAAACGAUGCGCGUUAGGUGUAUCGGUGACCACGAGUCACCGAGGUGCCGAAGAGAAAUCGUGAAACGUGCCGCCUGGGAAGUACGGUCGCAAGGCUGAAACUUAAAGGAAUUGGCGGGGGAGCAC